AUGCUGGAGGUAUCAGAAGUGCGAAUGCUGACAUAAGUAACGAUAAAGCGGGUGAAAAGCCCGCUCGCCGGAAGACCAAGGGUUCCUGUCCAACGUUAAUCGGGGCAGGGUGAGUCGACCCCUAAGGCGAGGCCGAAAGGCGUAGUCGAUGGGAAACAGGUUAAUAUUCCUGUACUUGGUGUUACUGCGAAGGGGGGACGGAGAAGGCUAUGUUGGCCGGGCGACGGUUGUCCCGGUUUAAGCGUGUAGGCUGGUUUUCCAGGCAAAUCCGGAAAAUCAAGGCUGAGGCGUGAUGACGAGGCACUACGGUGCUGAAGCAACAAAUGCCCUGCUUCCAGGAAAAGCCUCUAAGCAUCAGGUAACAUCAAAUCGUACCCCAAACCGACACAGGUGGUCAGGUAGAGAAUACCAAGGCGCUUGAGAGAACUCGGGUGAAGGAACUAGGCAAAAUGGUGCCGUAACUUCGGGAGAAGGCACGCUGAUAUGUAGGUGAAGUCCCUCGCGGAUGGAGCUGAAAUCAGUCGAAGAUACCAGCUGGCUGCAACUGUUUAUUAAAAACACAGCACUGUGCAAACACGAAAGUGGACGUAUACGGUGUGACGCCUGCCCGGUGCCGGAAGGUUAAUUGAUGGGGUCAGCGCAAGCGAAGCUCUUGAUCGAAGCCCCGGUAAACGGCGGCCGUAACUAUAACGGUCCUAAGGUAGCGAAAUUCCUUGUCGGGUAAGUUCCGACCUGCACGAAUGGCGUAAUGAUGGCCAGGCUGUCUCCACCCGAGACUCAGUGAAAUUGAACUCGCUGUGAAGAUGCAGUGUACCCGCGGCAAGACGGAAAGACCCCGUGAACCUUUACUAUAGCUUGACACUGAACAUUGAGCCUUGAUGUGUAGGAUAGGUGGGAGGCUUUGAAGUGUGGACGCCAGUCUGCAUGGAGCCGACCUUGAAAUACCACCCUUUAAUGUUUGAUGUUCUAACGUGGACCCGUAAUCCGGGUUGCGGACAGUGUCUGGUGGGUAGUUUGACUGGGGCGGUCUCCUCCUAAAGAGUAACGGAGGAGCACGAAGGUUGGCUAAUCCUGGUCGGACAUCAGGAGGUUAGUGCAAUGGCAUAAGCCAGCUUGACUGCGAGCGUGACGGCGCGAGCAGGUGCGAAAGCAGGUCAUAGUGAUCCGGUGGUUCUGAAUGGAAGGGCCAUCGCUCAACGGAUAAAAGGUACUCCGGGGAUAACAGGCUGAUACCGCCCAAGAGUUCAUAUCGACGGCGGUGUUUGGCACCUCGAUGUCGGCUCAUCACAUCCUGGGGCUGAAGUAGGUCCCAAGGGUAUGGCUGUUCGCCAUUUAAAGUGGUACGCGAGCUGGGUUUAGAACGUCGUGAGACAGUUCGGUCCCUAUCUGCCGUGGGCGCUGGAGAACUGAGGGGGGCUGCUCCUAGUACGAGAGGACCGGAGUGGACGCAUCACUGGUGUUCGGGUUGUCAUGCCAAUGGCACUGCCCGGUAGCUAAAUGCGGAAGAGAUAAGUGCUGAAAGCAUCUAAGCACGAAACUUGCCCCGAGAUGAGUUCUCCCUGACUCCUUGA
rnacentral:rRNA from 1 species